rnacentral:rRNA from 1 species
UACGUAGGGUGCAAGCGUUAAUCGGAAUUACUGGGCGUAAAGCGUGCGCAGGCGGCUUUGCAAGACAGAUGUGAAAUCCCCGGGCUUAACCUGGGAAUUGCAUUUCAAACUGGCCGACUAGAGUACGGUAGAGGGAGGUAGAAUUUCCUGUGUAGCGGUGAAAUGCGUAGAUAUAGGAAGGAAUACCAGUGGCGAAGGCGGCCUCCUGGCUCGAUACUGACGCUGAGGCGCGAAAGCGUGGGGAGCAAACAGG